rnacentral:rRNA from 1 species
UCCUUAUUACCAUGAGCAAAUCAGAGUGUUUAAAGCAGGCUUUUAAGCUUGAAUGUGUUAGCAUGGAAUAAUGAAAUAUGACUUUAGUCCUAUUUUCGAUUGGUUUAGGUACUUCUAGUAGCUCGAUGAUAUAGAUACACUGCUAUGACGCAGAGAUGCCUGC